AAAACGACUCUCGGCAACGGAUAUCUCGGCUCACGCAUCGAURAAGAACGUASCAAAAUGCGAUACUUGGUGUGAAUUGCAGAAUCCCGUGAACCAUCGAGUUUUUGAACGCAMGUUGCGCCCGAAGCCWUCCGGUUGAGGGCACGUCUGCCUGGGCGUCACGC
rnacentral:rRNA from 1 species